rnacentral:tRNA from 1 species
GGGGGCGUAGCUCAGUUGGUAGAGCGCUUGCAUGGCAUGCAAGAGGUUCGGGAGUUCGAUUCUCCUCGCCUCCACCA